GUGGAGCGGUGAAAGGCUCAGUAACGGGCGAUUUAUUUGAUCUCCUGGGACGGACAACAUCGGGAAACUGAUGGGAAAACGUCUAAGUUGCAAUUAAAUGAUUGUGACGUAAACCAUUAGGUGCAGGAGAGUAAGAUGCCAUCCUAUCAGUUAGUAAGUAGGGUAAGGGCCUACUUAGACGAAGACGGGUACGGGGAAUGAGGGUUUGAUUCCGGAGAGGGAGCCUGAGAGACGGCUACCAGGACCAAGGUCAGCAGCAGGCGCGAAAAUUAUCGAAGCCCGCCGAGGGGCGAUAGUGAGGAGACGUGUAUAACGAAGUACGUGUAAAGAACGUGCUAAUAACUGGAGGUCAAGUCUGGUGCCAGCAUCCGCGGUAAUUCCAGCUCCAGGGGUGUCUAUGAUGAUUGCUGCGAUUAAAAAGUCCGUAGUCAAGCUGACUGACUUGCCUGCAAUGUGAUUGAUUAAAGAACGAGCAGGGCUAGGAAAGCAGAGAAUUAGGAGCGACCGAGGGCUAGAGUAUUGAAUGGCGAGAGGUGAAAUUUGAUGACCCAUUCAGGAGUGACAAAGGCGAAGGCACUAGUCAAGGGCGAAUCCGAUGAUCAAGGACGUAGGCUAGAGUUUCGAAAACGAUUAGAGACCGGAGUAGUUCUAGNAGUAAACUAUGCCGACGCCGUGGUAUUAAUAUUAGUAUUGCGGAAGAGAAAUCAAGUAAGGCUUUGGGGAGAGUACGCGCGCAAGCGAUAAAUUUAAAGGAAAUUGACGGAGGAACACCACAAGGAGUGGAGUGUGCGGCUUAAUUUGACUCAACGCGGGACAGCUUACCAA
rnacentral:rRNA from 1 species